rnacentral:tRNA from 1 species
AAUGGGAUGACUGAUUUAGGUGGUAAAUUGUAAAUUUAUUUAAGGUUUUAUACCUCUCAUUA